CUAAGCGAAUUAAAAGGUUUUAUAUAAAUAUUCAUUCAUUCAUUCAUUCAUCCAAUAAUACUAGAAUAAUCAUGGAAUUCGUUGUUUUUGUGAACUUACUGUAAGAUUUUAAGUUUAACACUAAAACUUGUAAAAUCAUACUUUAUAAUGCAAUAGCACGGCUACCCAUGUCCUAAAUCAUAAUGUAUCGGUUAUGAAAGAAAAUUCGUUUGGAGUGUUUCCGGUUAUGAGUUAAAAGAGAACAACACGCCGCUUCGACAGGUAGGUAGAUCUGAGUUUUUCUUGUUUAUGAUCAUUUAACCACUGUUGACAAAAAUCGGGGAAUGUAGUCAGCUGUAGAAAUGAUUAAAGUACACGAGACCACAAUUACCCAUAUCUAAAGCGGCAAGACGACACGAGAUGAUUUUCCGAGAGCAGAAGGAGGUUAAAUUUCUAUCCAAACGGGUCAGAUGGAAAGAACUCAGCACAGGUGUGAAUAUAAAGGAUGCGACAAAGUUUACCAUCAAUUAAAAGAGGAAACCGACUUUGCAUAUGAAAAUUCAACAUAGCUUUAUUGACAUCGGUCACUUACUUGUUUUGCUUUUGUUGUUUUUGUUUGGUAUUUAACAUUAAAGAGAGAUUAUUUGAG